CUGGUGGCUACAUACAGUCAAUAUGAUUGCAAAGGGUCAGACCCUACUGAGUGACCACACUUUCACUUUCAUUCAACAAAUAUUUGCAGCACUCUUCGAUAACCCUGGGAGUGGGGUGAGGAGGACAGGGUCACCCCAGGGAACAGCUGGCUUGGAGAGGCCCAGACGACAGCGUUUGGCUUUCAGUGGGCAGACUAUGCGCUGUGGUUUACUCUCUCACUCUGGGGGUUUUCAUGGACCGAAGCAACAGCUAUUUAUGAUGGAAAGCUGAUCAGUCUUCACUUCAGAAUAAUAAGCAGAUAUUGCUGCUUCACUCAGGAGGCUUUCUUAAGGAUUUUCUGAUUCUUUUGUAAGGGUCCUUGGCACCCCUGUCUGGCUCAGUGUUACUUCCACAGCAUUCUAUCGGUCCAGUCACAAGUGCACCUAAAUUCAAGGAGAAGGGAGACAGGCUUCCUUGCCUGAGGGAUGGGGCAGCACGUGCAUGCAAGGGACCGGUGUGGCCAUCUCUGGAAACCGUCUACCACGGCACUCCAGGUUGUUCACCCACACUUCACAGGGAGUAGGUGAGUAUCACUUUAAAAAUGUGAAACACGGGCACUGGUUACCUCAAUGGGCUGUAUUCUCUGAUAGUAGAAAAAUUUAAUUGAUUUAGUCUCUCUUUAUACCCUCGAAAUAUGACUGCUUUUCAGCUGUUUCUUCUUUGUUUUCUGAA